AGAGUUUGAUCAUGGCUCAGAUUGAACGCUGGCGGCAUGCCUUACACAUGCAAGUCGAACGGUAACGGGCCUUCGGGUGCCGACGAGUGGCGAACGGGUGAGUAAUGCAUCGGAACGUACCUUUCAGUGGGGGAUAACGUAGCGAAAGUUACGCUAAUACCGCAUAUUCUGUGAGCAGGAAAGCAGGGGAUCGCAAGACCUUGCGCUGAUUGAGCGGCCGAUGUCAGAUUAGCUAGUUGGUGAGGUAAAGGCUCACCAAGGCGACGAUCUGUAGCGGGGUCUGAGAGGAUGAUCCGCCACACUGGAACUGAGACACGGUCCAGACUCCUACGGGAGGCAGCAGUGGGGAAUUUUGGACAAUGGGGGCAACCCUGAUCCAGCCAUGCCGCGUGAGUGAAGAAGGCCUUCGGGUUGUAAAGCUCUUUCGGCCGGGAAGAAAUCGCAUGGGUUAAUACCCUGUGCGGAUGACGGUACCGGCAUAAGAAGCACCGGCUAACUACGUG
rnacentral:rRNA from 1 species